rnacentral:rRNA from 1 species
GAGUUUGAUCGUGGCUCAGGAUGAACGCUAGCUACAGGCUUAACACAUGCAAGUCGAGGGGCAGCAUGGUCUUAGCUUGCUAAGGCCGAUGGCGACCGGCGCACGGGUGAGUAACACGUAUCCAACCUGCCGUCUACUCUUGGACAGCCUUCUGAAAGGAAGAUUAAUACAAGAUGGCAUCAUGAGUCCGCAUGUUCACAUGAUUAAAGGUAUUCCGGUAGACGAUGGGGAUGCGUUCCAUUAGAUAGUAGGCGGGUAACGGCCCACCUAGUCUUCGAUGGAUAGGGGUUCUGAGAGGAAGGUCCCCCACAUUGGAACUGAGACACGGUCCAAACUCCUACGGGAGCAGCAGUGGGAAUAUUGCACAAUGGGCGAAAGCCUGAUGCAGCGACGCCGCGUGAGUGAAG